AUGAAAAUGUUCACUCUUCUGUACCUGUUAACAGUUGUUCCUGGUAUCCUGUCUGAUGUACAGCUUCAGGAGUCAGGACCUGGCCUGGUGAAACCUUCUCAGACAGUGUCCCUCACCUGCACUGUCACUGGCAUCUCCAUUACCACUGGUAAUUACAGGUGGAGCUGGAUCCGGCAGUUUCCAGGAAACAAACUGGAGUGGAUAGGGUACAUAUACUACAGUGGUAGCAUUACCUACAAUCCAUCUCUCAAAAGUCGAACCACCAUCACUAGAGACACUUCCAAGAACCAGUUCUUCCUGGAAUUGAACUCUUUAACUACUGAGGACACAGCCACAUACUACUGUGCACGAGACACAGUGUGGAAUCUUCAGUGUGAGCCCAGAUUUACACAAGGUUCCAUGAACAGACUGAGAAAUAAGGACGCUGCCAUGUGUUACUGUGUGAGAGAUACAGUGAGGAAAAUCACCACCAUUGUGGUGUUCCUACUUCUGUUUCUAUUCUGCUCAGACACUGAGAAAGAUGACAGAGCAUUGCAACUGUCUCCAGCAGACAAUCAUGUACUGAAAGGACUGUAA